GUAAGUUGAGAAAAAAUGUGAGGUGUAGAAAGAAGGAAAUUGAAUUCAUUUAGAAAAGAGAAUUCCAAAUGAGCUUAAUUUCCUUUUUUCUAAAUCUUAAUAAUCUACCUUGCUUUUCU
rnacentral:precursor_RNA from 1 species